rnacentral:sRNA from 1 species
GGUCAUUAGAGCCCUGCUUGUGUCUUUAGCAAGGUACUGCUCUGCGAAGAAAACUCUGGACAGUGGCAUAUCUGCAAUGUGUCCCUAUAUCUUCACGAUGCUCCUAUGAGACCAGGAAAUAGAGAGCACACAGUAACAUUAAAAUAUAAACUCUGUUGUAUGACUGUUGGGCUGUGCACAGUAGAGUGGUCAUUCUUUAGAAGUACCAUUUGGACAUUUUUCAGCUAUGGAGAAAGAACCCUUUGUCCAUCAUCUUCACCGCUGGAUGUGUUUAUAUUUGUGUCGCAGACCUUGAGCUUUUGAGUCUCCAAGGGGAAUCUUGGUCAUGUUACUACAGGAUGUGCAGUGGGUCUCCUUGACUGUCUUCUGUACAUUGACAAAACAGGUUGUCUAGCAAGCCUCUGGACAGGCAGCAUGGCAGAAAUCAACUCUUUCCAAAAAAAAGGCUGCUGCUGACACAGUGGAUAGAGCACACACAAGCUCCCUGUCUGACUCCUUCAGCUCCUGCAUGUCUCCUUGGCUAACAUUUCAGAGCUUCUGAUUCUUCAGACAUCAGCUUCUUGAUACUGAAGAGAUUGUUCUACCUGAUGAGCCCAGGCCUAGAAGAUGGACUGCAUCCAAGAAGCCUGGUCCAUCUAAGGCCAAGUCACAUCUUUAAGAAAUAUUUGAAAGCAUUUGUGCACAGGAUAAAGGUGCAAGGACCAAAGUCUCCUUAGACUUUCCAGCAUACAGAGGGUCUGACAGACUCAGGUCAAAGGUUACGUCUGAAGCCUAGAUUAUGAAGAAGGCCCCACUCCACAGUAGAAGCCUGUGGCUGAUGCUGUUGCAACCAGGACUAUGAUUGUGAAACUUUUGUCUGUUCAGGAUAGCAGGUUCAGGAAUCUUGUGCCCAGGUAUCCACAGGCCUUUUUUCAUACAUUUCUUGGUAUAAUUUUGCAAGUCCUGACUUUGGACAUGUCGGGUGCUGAUGGUAUCUCACUUGAUAUAUAGUCCAAGAAAGAUUUUUACCCCUUUAAGGGGCUGGAAAUAGACUGGCCUCACAGUUACCAUUAAAACUGAAGUUCUGUC